GAUAGGUAUUAACGAUAAUAAUAACGAUAAUAAUUGGUUUUAAUUGAAAAGUGAAGAUAUAUAUUUUUAUUUUUUUUAUUUUGGGAAAAGUUGUGUGAAUGAAGCUUUUAAAAUAGAAGGAUGGAGAUAUAAAAAAUUUAGAUAUAUAGUCAUAAAGAAACGUGAAAUAGAUGUGGUAGAAAAGAAAUCGAAGUAAAUAUCUUCAACGCGUCAGAUGCCUCCGUAAAAAGUGAAAAUGACAUCGUGUUGGUCGUCAUUUUCAUGCUGGUUUACCGUACCUGUCACUGACUGACUGAGACUAAUAGAGGCGCAGUGCGAUGUCACGCGUUCGUUCGAACGCAUCUAGAGAUUCUAGGGGAAAAUUGCUCUCCCGUUGUUUUCUGUCUGCCUUGGGCACGGAGUGAAUCAUUGCCAACGACCGUACGCCGUGAAACGAUUGCUUUUUAAUGAAAAUCGAAUCGUUCUCUCGUCCCUCCUAUCCUCCGAGGCACUCUCCCUUAACGAGGGAUCCGUUUCAACGAUGGCACGCGCGUAUUCUUUGUAAUUACGUUUGUUAUGUGGCUUCACUCGCUUGAGAUUUUAGCAAUAAUCGUUGACCGUUAUCGUUUGUUACGCUUCAAGACGAAAAUGUAUCCGUUACUUGUAUAUUGCUAUAGUGUCGACGAUGAAAACUGGAACUCAUAAAGAUUUAGCUAUCUCCUCUUUUAUUAGAGUAAUUUUCAAGAUAUAUCGAAGUACACGUAUAUUUACAUGGAACAUGUAUUAAGAAUUUAAAAAUAUGUGAGCACAAUUCAUACGUAUUGAUUAUACAUGCAUAUAUAUAGAAAUUAUAAAUAUACAUUAUUCCUCGUAAAAAAAUUUUUAUUCUUGGAAGUAGAUAAUAUUUUACGUGCCACUUCUUUUCGGAUUUUCUUUUUCUAAUAAAAAAUCGAAAUUUUCAAUACUAAAAUUUUUUUUAUUCAAAUAUUAAAAUUUUGUAUUAGAGGAAUACAAUUGAAAAACAAAUUUG